GCACUGCUGUUUUUGCCACAGCUGUGCACAGUAAUUUGUAAAGUAAGCCAACAGAGAGGCAUUUCUAUGUCUUUAUUUUGUGCUUUGUGAUAGUGUUAGAAUGAGGUGUGAUGCUCCUUGGACCUUCUGGAGACCAGAGUGAUUUUUCUCUGACCCUCUGUAAGGGCAGGAGGAGCCAGAGGGAGAACUGAAGCUAAAUGCUGGGGGGGAGGGAUGUGCAUAAAGAUGCUGAAAGCUCUGAUGUGAAAGGGCAGCUGGAACCGAGGACUGUGGGGAAUAUGUCAGAGCAUUUAAAUAUUAAUGGAAGACUUGGAAUGGAGAUGUAUGACUGGGCAUGGCUCGUUCACAGGCAAAGCUGGUUCAAAAAACUCCAGAGCCUAAAGACAUUCUGACCUCGAAGGCUCUGAACACACAGGGACAAAGGAGAGGCUGAUCCAUUCUCAGGCCUCAUCCUCUCACUUCUCUGUCUGGUGGAGCUGGAGAUUUGGGAUAGAUACUCGUAUAUUAAUUGUGCAAUACCACAUUUACUGAAUAACCUGAAGCAGAGAGACAGGGGUAGCACACAGCCCAGCCUUGGAGGUGAUGAAGAGAGAGGGCUGAUCCCCAGAAAGCACUGGUCUCCAUGGAGGAAGACACAGUCAGGCUGGAGAAACCCAGGGAGAAAAACCAUCUUUGCAGCAGCACUCUGAACUGAAAAAAUAAUUUACUUCUAUGCUGACUAAUUUUGAUUUUUUCUAUACUGAAGGAGUUUUUGUUCUCUUCUGCUCACAAACCCUGGCUCUCAAAUUUUGUAUAUUUGUAGAGCUCAGGGUGGGGAAGGGGCUGGGUGGGUCCCGUCAAGAUUUGUCUGACUCAUGUCUAUCAGGAGAGGCAGUGGA